ensembl:lncRNA
UGUGUGUGUGUGUGUGUGUGUGUGUGAGAGAGAGAGAGAGAGAGAGAGAGAGAGAGAGAGAGAGAGAGAUGUUACACUGUAAGAAGUUGUAGUUGAAACUCCGCCUUUUCUCCACCGGAAAUGACUCAAAAGUGAAAGUGAAAGCGGAUAAUUUUUGUGUUGAGAAAAACGCGAUGCUCUUUGGAACAGAAUCGCAUUGACUUUAAUCUUUAUUGAAUAACGCGGUGUGACGCAGUAACUUAACCUGAGGGAAGUUAACAGACCCGUGUGUCCUGCUGUGUUUCUUACACACAGUGUGUAAAGUUUACAGCUGUUAUUUAUUAAAGAGGGAAUAAUAUUCAUAUACAUUAUAACAAUUCCUGACAGAUUUCCACUCUCUCUUCUUUAUCUCUAACACACACAAUAAGCAGAAAUAAACACGAAGCCACUUCCUGUUUAGAAGGUAGUGUCACGUUUCAUGGGCGGAGACGGAAGCAGAUGCAGCAGGACUCAGCUAAACUAAUACUGAGACAGCAGACAUUAGACUUUCUGAAAUAAUGUCGGGGGAGUGUGAGGAACUCAGAACAUCUGAAAUGAGUCAUCAAGAGGAGCAGCACAAGAUCCAAAGUGGAACUGUGGAAAGGUCAAAUUCUCCUGUAUCCAGCUGCGUGUCCUUUAAGAGUGACCGCUCACUGCCACUUCCUCCCGAAUUUAAAGGUGGAACAUCCUCUGUGGAAAGGUAUUCCUUAUCCUGCUCAUUAAAAUCACAGCCUCUCAUUUGUUCCUAUUCAUAUUUAUUCAUGUUCUUCCUAUUCAUAACAUGAGAUAUGAGAUGGUGUUAAAUGAAGGAAGUUUUAGAAGUAGUCGAGCAUGUACUUUUAAUGCAUUAUAAUGCAC